rnacentral:rRNA from 1 species
AUUGAACGCUGGCGGCAGGCCUAACACAUGCAAGUCGAGCGGAGCGGCGUACGGGUGAGUAAUGCCUAGGAAUCUGCCUGUUAGUGGGGGAUAACGUCCGGAAACGGGCGCUAAUACCGCAUACUAUCAGAUGAGCCUAGGUCGGCUUAGCUCGUUGGUGGGGUAAAGGCCUCACAAGGCGCCGAUCCGUAACUGGUCUGAGAGGAUGAUCAGUUAACCUGGAACUUAUACAAGGGUCAGAGUCCUACGGGAGGCAGGAGUGGGGAAUAUUGGACGAUGGGCGAAAGCCUGAUCCAGCCAUGCCGCGUGUGUGAAGAAGGUCUUCGGAUUGUAAAGCACUUAAAGUUGGGAGGCGUUACCAACAGAAUAAGCACCGGCUAACUUCGUGCCAGCAGCCGCGGUAAUUC